UUUCAUCUUAACCUGCCAGAAUAGGAAGGACUGCAAAGAGCUACACACGCUAGCGUUGGAGUUCAUAUCUGAUGGCUAGAAAUGCUAAAUUGAUUCAAACGUGAGCGAUAUAACUCGGCUAGUGAAUUAAGUUAGCGGUUUAGUUUCAUUAUUUAUUUCUAACUUCAUUAACGACGCUGGAAUAAAGCUGGUGUGAAGUUGGAGGUUCGAUAUUCGCGGAUAUGUGGAAAUUAAGGGACCGUCUCUAAAGUUACACACGACAUUGUUAUACACGUUUCUAAAUUGAAUAGCAUUUGAAGGGAAUGACUUACAAUCACAUAACCAACUGUACAGUGUUCAUCUAGGGGUCAGGUAUAACACACACCUUAGAUUUCUGAUAUUUAACAAAAUAAACUAUUAAAUCAUAUGUAAAUAUUGUCAUGUAUUUUAUCACUGCAUGGGCUCAUACACAAAAUAUACCUUAAUUUAAUUUAAAGCUCAAUAGUAUUUGAAUUGAAUGAUGUACAGUCACACAGCCAACUGUACAGUGUUCCUCUAGGUGUCAGGUGUGAUACACACUUCUUAGAUUUCUGAUAUUUAACCCUACAAUGCAUGAACCAAAAAAACCCUUCACGAAUGCAUAAAGGGGGUCAAAAUGACCCGUACCCGAUUGAAUGGUUUUCUUCAAAAAAUAGACGUCCUAUUAAUGAAAUAAUUAAAAGAAAUGAUGAUCCAUGAAUGUAUUAAUAUUUCAAACGUUUUCUUUUUAUGUACAUGUUUAGAUUGUGGUUGGGAGCCAAAGGAGUUCAAAAUGAUUUACAUAGGUAGCACGUCCAGUCAAGAUUUAGAGCCCUUUUGAACUGCGUCUCUGACAGUGACUGUGUUUACAUGGACAGCAGUAAUGUAACUAUUGAGCUUACUCUGAUUAAGAUAAUAAUGUGAUUAAGGUGUUUACAUGAGUCGCUUUUAGAAUACUCCUGUCAUGUUCCCGUUUUACAUGUUAUAGAUCAUAGAUUGAUUAACAGCACACGUCAUUACGUCACCACGCCGUCUGACGUCCCUCCAGAAUUUCACCUAUCAACAUACAGUUCGUCUUCAUUAUGGUACUGUAUACAGUUUACAGCUUAGGGUGUGUUUUUUUUUAUUUAUUUUUUUAUAAACGAACGUUUCAAGUACGGUUAAUUACUUGUCGUGCUGUACGUGCUAAUAGACGACUGCUUGAAGCCGUGGGUGUGUCCCAAAUCGCGUAGUUACCGUCUAUAUAGUAGCCAUGAUAUAUGUAUUUCACCUACUACAGGACUAUAGUAGGCAAGUAUGCAGUUUGGGACGCAGCUGAACUUGCUUGUUCGCCGUAAAACAUAAAACUGCCGUGUGUGAUCGUGUCCUGUCUCAAAAUGCAGUGAAAACUCUCACACAUGGUACACACUGUAAAUAGCAUUAGCAUAUGUUUACUACUUAAUACUAAUACUUAGUAUGAUGUUACAACAUGUGUGGUUUUUCUGUGAUAAUCUAUACUUUAUACCAUAGUCUAAAUGACAGGCGUUUUUUGUACUAGUAAUAAAUUACCUGAGGCUUUCAGAAGUUCCUCUGCCAUUGUCAAUCGCAGAUGUUCCAUGUGCUCCUCAGAGGAGUUUAAAGUCAAAUGGCAAGGGAUAUUUGGAAACACACCAUCAACUUCUUUUGCCAUCUACAUAAGACAAGAUAAGGUAAUUAGGGAUGCACCGAAUGUUUGGCAACCGAAAUUAUUCGGCUGAAAAUAGCCAAAAAAAGCACUUUCGGUGUUGAAAACUGAAAAGGCCGAAUAAAUUUGACCGAACGAUGACGCAACCAAAUAGCCUAGCAACCAGAGUGAGACGUGCGAAUGUCACGACCUCGAUGAGGGGGCGCGCGCAUGCACGAGCUACGUGCACUUUGGUUGUUUACUGUGCGUUUGUUUUGUUUCGGUCACGUCGCGAGACGUAAGGGAGUAGAGUACGGAAGAGGGUAAAGACGUAUUUAUUUAAGGGAACAUAACAUUAACAACGUAUCUAACUACUAUAUCUACUCUAAUACUCGGCGAGGUGUACAGGGACGCGAGCGGUACAUAUCCCCAAUAUCAUCAGCCCUAUAGAACCCAACAAAACCAGUUUCUGCACUCGUCACUGCACUUUUUAGUUGUAGGCUACAGAGUGUUCCAUUCUUUCAGCAGUCAGUUACAGGACUAACAUCGGCUUUUCAAGGGGCUCAAAGAUGACCACAGCAACAUAUUUUUAUUUUACUUGUUUAUUUAUUUAAAGUUAUAUUGUGCCUUGUUGGUAGCCUGUGCCUGCUGGAAUGAAGAAAAAUGUUCAGUGUUAAAUAAAUAUUUUGAAAUUGUAGUUUUUGUAAUUGAUUUUUUUUCUUUGAAAAGCUACACAAAAUAGUAAAAAGCAUGUUUUGACUAUUUAAUUUAUGCAGUGGUGAAUAAAUUGGCAAAAUUGAAAAAACGUGUUUGGGAUUCAGCUUUCGGCCAAGUUUUUCAUUAUAUUCGGCUUCGGCGAAGAAUUUUCAUUUCGGUGCAUCCCUAAAGGUAAUGUUUUUUUUAUUGUCCAUGGGAGAUUGUUUCACCACAGCAGCCAUACAUACAUACAAACAAACAAAACACAUACAUAUAAAUCCAUUAGUCAUAUUAAUACACUAUUUGCAUAAUCUACAUUGAACAAACAUUGAAGAGCCUGAGCCUCCACAUAAAGUACAGUUUGCUCUGACCCGUCCUCUAUGAAGCCUCAGUUUACCCGCUCCAUUCUGGUUUGUUGUCUAGAUACACUCCAGGGUUCUUGCAAGACUGAACCAAAUCAACAUUCUGCUCCACAAGUUCAUAACUCUGUCAGAGUUUCUUAUAAGAUAAACUCUUUGUUUUUCUUUAGGUCGUAUAAUUUAAUGAGGAACUCCAACCUGCAUGACAGACACUUUAAACGAAUGUUCUGCAUUGUGCUCUCCGUUCUCUUUACAGGCCGUAUAAAUAUAAUGGUGUGAUUAGGAAGGCAGUAUUAUCCAUUUUCCUUUAGUGCUUAAAACGCAAAAUGUUUGGAAAAAAGUGUUAAGCGAAUCAAAAUGAUUGACAGGAUAACAUUAAGCAUUAAAACAUUAUCACUAUUACUACUAAUUUCCUAUAUAUGUAGUAUACGGUAAUUAUUGUCUUUACAUAUCUCACUCACUUUACACGUAACAAUUAUUGUGAAUUGCUUGCUACUUAUAGUAAAAGUUAAUAAGUAAAUUUAUUGUAAGGACUUUACAGCAUUUAAAAAAAAAAAAAAAAAAACCUUGAGAAGACUAGUAUACUUACACAAUGUAAAAGACUCGAAGCCUGACAGUUUAUUCGUAAGAAAAUAAUCGUUAGGGAUCCAGAGAUGUGCAAGAGCUAUGCCAAGCCUCUGGAACACCAACAGGAGGGAUAGAACAUCAUGUUUUCAAAAUAUAUUUCUAAAUUUUUACAUUUUCAAGAUGAUACUGGAGAGCGCUGACAGUUUGGUCCUAAAUCUAAUUUUUUGUUUAAUUUACUAAAGAUCUGGUGAUAGAAAAGGACACAAGGACACAGCAUAUCAUUCACCGUUCAAUACCCCGUGACAAGAAAACACAACAAAAAGAAGUGGGCCUCUUCACACAGUCAUGCUGUUUUUUCUAAUUUGUAACCCAUCUGUGUAAGUACAGUAUAUAACAAGCUAAAAAUAUUACUGAAAUCUAGUGGCUGCAUGCAUGGACUUUGCUUCUUCAUCAUGUCCUGCUGGGUCGACCACGAACACCUGGCUGGAUGCUGCAUUGAGACACUGUGCAAGAUUAAAAAAAAAAGAUGAAACUACAAAACAAAGUUUUGUAGAAAAAUUUUGAGGUUGGUUUGAAAAAGUCUGGCCUGAGAGUUAAAAUUAUGGAUGGAUGAAUUCAUUCAUUCAUACAUUCAACUAUUCCGGACUCUUGUGCGUGGUGUAGACACAGUGAAAAGCAUAUGGCCUUGUAUGGGUUAGUCCAUCCAUCCAUCUUCUAUACCGCUUACUCCUUUUCAGGGUCACGGAAAACCUGGAGCCUAUCACAGGGAGCAUCGGGCACACCCUGGACAGGGUGCCAGUCCAUCGCAGGGUACAUUCACAUACACAUUCACACACCCAUUCAUACACUACGGACACUUUAGACACGCCAAUCAGCCUACCAUGCAUGUCUUUGGACUGGAUGAAGAAACCGGAGUACCCGGAGGAAAGCCCCCGCAGCUACGGGUUAGUUUCUAUUUGAGUUUUGAUGGUUGGUGUUUGAAUAGUCUUGGCUCACCUGAACAUUUAUUCAGUGUGAUUCUUCAAGCCAGCCAAAUGAUGAACAUCUUAUAUAGAAUAGAGUAAUAUAACAGUGUCUCAUGUAUAUUAAAAAAGGACUAUAAAAUGUGUUCACCAAAAAUAUCCAGUGAUUCCCAUUGACAUUCAGGAAACUUAUCAUUAAUAAGUAAGUUAAUAUAUUCCUCUUUGUUCACAGAUUAUUUUUCAAUUGUCAUAAGAGCAAUGCAUUUCCCAAAGGUAUGAAUCAUUUUUCGUAACUCCCCCACCAGCCAUUUAUGUGUCUGGAGCGUUUUCAGCCCUGAAUGAUACAGGAUAUAAGACCUUUUUUUGUCCUUUGACUGUGUAAUGGCAAUAACUUAUCUCACAUGCUUUCUUAGACCACAGAGCUUGGAUCUGCAAUGAGAUAUUUGAAUAUAAUAUAAAAGGCUCUGUCUUGUGUCUUUUUGGUGGGGGCACUGCUUCUGGUGGAUCAAAAUACUUUGAACGAUGCUUUGCUGGUCUUUGAGUUUGUGAUCUCUUGGCCCAUUGCUCUUCUUGUUGGUCAAUGGUCUGUUGCUUUGGAGAUGUUCCUUGAGACAGACUAUCAAGAUUAUGCAUCAUCUGAUGCUGUGUGUACCUUCCUUGCAGAGAGUUAAACAUCUUUGUAAUGAAAUCUGCAGGCCGCAGGAACCUUUUUCUGCGUAACAUGUGAUUCUUCAAUAUUGAGAACCAUUGCUCCGCAUGGCAAUUUGUUUCCCUCCUUUUAAUUCCUUUACUAUUCUCUUUGGAGAAUCUGCUCAGGUCCCCAAGAAAUAUGCCACUCCAAAGGGGGAAAAGUCUGUAAAUAUUACAACUCUAAAAGGCGUUUCUCAUACCCGACACCUAGAUGAACACUUUCCAGUUGGAUUUCUGACUGUCUUUCAAUUCACAUGCUAUUGAGCUUUCAAAAAUGGUAUAGUUUGUGUAUGAACCCAUUCUGCAGUGAAAUUUGUGUCUAAUUUCCAUGUGAUUUAAUAGCUUAUUUUGUUAAAUAUCAAAAAUCUAAAAGGUGUUUCUCAUAUCUGACCCCUAGAUGAACACUGUACAGUUGGUUAUGUGACUGUACGUCAUUCCCUUCAAAUGCUGUUGAAGUUAGAAACGUGUAUAACAAUGUCGUAUGUAACUUUAGAGACGGUCCCUUAAUUUCCACAUAUCUGCCAAUAUCCACCGUCAAGAUAAAGUGCCCUACAUUUUAACAUAAAUAAAUAAAUCAGUAUGUUUACAUGGACAACGAUAAUCCAAUUUUAAACCGAUUAAGACAAUAUCUGAUUAAGAAACUACCAUGUAAACAGCAUGUAAAUAUUUUAAUUACCUUAAAUGUGGCACGGGGGAGAUUUACUCAUCACGUUACUUCUGUUCCGAAAACACGCUUCUGAGAGUAAAUACUAAAGUUGUGUGAUGAAUAAAUCUCCCCCGUGCUGCGCAUAGACCAUCUAAUCGAUUAUUAUUAUGUUGCAGCUAUAAAUGCUUCUCAGGUUGUGAAUAGAGAUCCACUGUAUGGAAAACUGGUACCAAACGAGACAUCAUGAGAUAGGAGACUUUUUUCCUUUUCUUUAAAGCAAUGUGUCUAAAUUCUACUCAUCAAAUGCAUUUUUCAUGUCAUAGCGACCUUGUUCCCGAAAAAGCCGGAGUAUGUCGGAGGUUUUGGAAGAGUUAUUUCAGAUUGACUCUGGAGAGGAAUUGGAGUUUUUUUUGGAGGAAGACAACGUGGAUUGAGCUGAAGAGCAUUUCAGCAUGCACUGGACCCGGUCCUGGAAAUAGGAGAAGAAGAAGAAAAUGCUCCUGAUCCUCCUCACACUUCUUCUGAGGCCUUCUCUCCCAACACCCAUAUGGAGGUUUCCACUGCAAAACUGACAGCUCCAGCUACCCCUACCCAAGAGAGGUCACUCAUGUGUCACUCAUUUGAGCCAUUAGGAGAGCCAGUGCUCCUGCACCUACAACACAGCCUGAACAGGACAGGUUUGAUAAUAUAAAGCGUGAUGUGCCUCCUGUACAACAUCACUUUUCUCCUGCCCACACUCCUAGGGUACAGCUUGAUAGCCACCAGCAGCACACUACUCUAGAGCUGUUCUAGUUAUUUUUUGGUAAAGCCACAGUCUCUGCAACAACACAAACCUGUAUGCAGAGUAAAAGCAGAAGCGUAUGUAGACACCAUGGAGUCCUGUAACUAGCCUGAAGAUUCAUAUAUUGUGGCCUAAUAAAGCCAUCAAGAUUUUGAGAUUUGUGGAGAAAGAAUAACCUACAUAAUUUUGCAUUCCCAACCUCUGUCCUGGCAUUCUACAGAUUUCAGGCAAUAUUCUGGAUCCUGUACAUGAGCAACGUCAAAGGUGAUGAGCAGAAUGACUGGCGAAAAGGCACCACUGGUUAUGAUUGGCUCUUUCAUGUGAAGCACACCAGGAAGCAGCUCUUAUUAACAUGCAGGGUGCACUACCAGCCUCACCAGAACCUGGCCAUCGAUGAAAGCCACAAGGUCUAGAAUUGUGGAUUUUGGGAGUGAUGAAACCAUAAGUUCUUUGUGUCUGAGCCAGUGACUGCUGCAGCUGUCAGUGAUGUGUCACAGGUGGCAGAGAAGAGGCCAUCCAGUAAACACCUCAACCUCUGCCAAGAGAGACAAAGCCUCAGCUGGGAGAAAACACCGUGUACUGCCUACAAAGGAAGAAGCACAGCAAGACCAUUUACAAAUGCAGGUCUUGUGAUGUGUUCCUGUGUACUAUAGUGGACUGUCUUUGUUUCACUUAAUAGGGAUAAUGACAAGGACAGUCAACGUACUAGACUCUGGCUCAUGGAUUUUUUUCCAGGUUUUUUCUGCACUUUCAUAUUGGUUGUAAAUUGUUAUUUUUGCCUCCUAAAAUCCAACCCCAUGUCAUAGAAGGUGGAAACAGCACCUUCUGCAUGCCUAUGCCUAUACGUGACAGUGCUAACAGGGCUCUGGGGCUGAUUUCAGUAAAGAUAUUUUUCCUGUCAUUUGUUGGUGGUUUGUGCCAUUUGGACAUGUUCUUUUGUGAAAAUAUUUUUUAGCGUUGCUUACUAUUUCUAGAAGUUGUCUGCUAUUUCUUUAGGCUUUGGGCCAUUUGGGGAUGUUUUUACCUCUGUUUGGAUAACUUCAAAUUUAAGUUGUUGAAGAUAACUCCUUCAAAUCUGAAUGCUUAUGGACAAGCAUUUGGGGCAGGAAUGGGAUUGAUAUAAGCAUUUAUUUUGAAGAAAUAACCAUUCGUGUGUGUGGGGGGGAUUCUGAAUAUAUUGCCCCUAAGUGGCUAGGUGUAAACAGAAAAACAGCACAUUUCUUAAAGCCUUGAAUGUCUGCUUUCAUAUGAGCCAUUAACCACUGCUGUGGUGUGAGACAUCACAAAUAAAUUCAAUGCUGAACCCCCAAGACAGGUGAAAAUUCCUUUUUUUUGGCCACUGGUAAAAAGAGUUAAGGCUCUUGGUAAAAUGGUUGUGAAUACGCACUUUCCAUACCAACACACUAAAACACAGAUAAUGAAGAGUAACUAAAUCAAAGAAUUCACAAUAUUGUAUUACAGUAAUAUAUUAAUUGUAAUGUUAAUAUUUCAGGAGAUCAGGAUCUUUUUUUUUUUGUUGUUGAUGCAUGUUUACAUUAAUAUCGAAAAUGUUUGGUUUAAUUUUUGCAUUUUCUCAUCAACUAAAAUGCCGUUGACUAAUAUUCUAUGCCCCUUUUGUCAGAGUAAAAUUGACUAAAAUGAAUCAAAAUUAUUUUUGUAAAUAUUGACUAAAUUUAAAGGAUAUUUUCAUCAGAAGACCAAAAAAAAUCUAUGACUAAAAACUGUGAAAAUUAACAAUGGAACUCGUUUAUUUAUUUAUUUAUUUAUUUUUUAUAAUUUUAUGCACUUUAAAAAUAAAUGCACUUCGUUAACAGCCUGGUUUGUUCUUUGCAAUGAACCAUACAACAUGUUGCUGUCAGGUUUGCAUUUAUUCAUUGCAAACCUAAUUGUGGUUUUCAAAGUGGGGGCAGCCAGGGGGCGCCCGGGGAGCCUCAACAAUUUGGUGUGGAAAAUAAAUAAAUAAAUAAAUAUAAAAUUCCUGAUGUAAUUAUUAAUAAUAAUUAAAAAAAAGCGGGGAUAUAUUCAGAAGUCUGUAUUUUAAUGUGUUUUAAAGAUAUCUUGCAAAAGGGGGCCUCGGUCAAAUGUUAAUGCCCUGGAAAACUUUGGGAUUAAUAAUGUCUUUAGAAUUCAAAUAUAAUUAGAACUUUUUAAAUAUUCAAGUGAAAAUUAUAAUUGUAUCCGUGACUUAAAAUGAUCUUAAAAUGACAAUUAUAUUGCAUUUUUUGUAUCAUUUA